rnacentral:rRNA from 1 species
AUUAGACGAAUCAUCUGGAAAGAUGAAUCAAAGAAGGUAAUAAUCCUGUAGUCGAAAAUGUUGUCUCUCUUGAGUGGAUCCUGAGUACGACGGAGCACGUGAAAUUCCGUCGGAAUCUGGGAGGACCAUCUCCUAAGGCUAAAUACUCUCUAGUGACCGAUAGUGAACCAGUACCGUGAGGGAAAGGUGAAAAGCACCCCGGAAGGGGAGUGAAAUAGAACCUGAAACCGUGUGCUUACAAGUAGUCAGAGCCCGUUAAUGGGUGAUGGCGUGCCUUUUGUAGAAUGAACCGGCGAGUUACGAUUUGAUGCAAGGUUAAGCAGUAAAUGUGGAGCCGUAGCGAAAGCGAGUCUGAAUAGGGCGUUUAGUAUUUGGUCGUAGACCCGAAACCAGGUGAUCUACCCUUGGUCAGGUUGAAGUUCAGGUAACACUGAAUGGAGGACCGAACCGACUUACGUUGAAAAGU